rnacentral:rRNA from 1 species
UACGGAGGGGGCGAGCGUUAUUCGGAAUUAUUGGGCGUAAAGGGCGCGUAGGCGGCUGGGCAAGUCAAAGGUGAAAUCCCUCGGCUCAACUGAGGAACUGCCUUUGAAACUGCCUGGCUUGAGGCCGGGAGGGGGUAGCGGAAUUCCCAGUGUAGCGGUGAAAUGCGUAGAUAUUGGGAGGAACACCAGUGGCGAAGGCGGCUGCCUGGACCGGUUCUGACGCUGAUGCGCGAAAGCGUGGGUAGCAAACAGG